rnacentral:sRNA from 1 species
UUUUGCAGCCUGACUGCUGAUUUAUACAUGGCAUCACAUCUACUGGGCAGAUGUUUUCAAGAUGAUCCCUCAUCUUACAUGCAUGGAGUUUUGCCCCGCAGUAACAUUCUUUAAGUGCGCAUUUAUAACCAACCUGGACUGUACAGUCUCUUCUGAAGCAACUAUCACAAUGGUGACUCUGUUCUUUGUUCUGAAAGAGAUUGUAAGGUGGCAAACUCAAAGCUUCGAAAUUCAUGGCGGGGCAUUCACGUAAAUGUUCAGUCAGUAGAAUUCGUGAAAAUCUAUAUUCACAGCCGUGCUGUUUGUUGAUGCAAGAGAUUUCUUUAAACUGACAGAUUCGUUUGUGUUCCUUUAUUUUACAUCCAUGGAACUGCAUAGAACAGCCUGCGUUUGGACAUUUUUUAAUCACGCAUUCUUUUUGCUGUGGACAGUUAAUACAAAAGCAAUACAGACAAUGCUCAUGUAUUUUUUUAUUCACGAGAGACGGUCUUGAGUAAAGGUCACUAGGAUGUCGGCUUACACGCUUGUCAAAAUUACUUGGAUGUAACGUUUCUGGUUGUUGUUGUUGCAUCUUUGUGCAAUGCUGAAGAUGGUAUGCUAGCUUGUUUCUUGGCAUUUCCAUCCGACAUCCAAGUGUCUCGUUAAUGCAUCGAAUUAUUUUGUAUUUGCAUAAUUCAUCAUGCUCUCGUUGUUUACAUUUGUGAAAUGAAGCUUCGCAACAUU